AAGGUUUUAAGUUAAUUAAACUAUUAGCCUUCAAAGCUGUAAAUAAAGAUAUAUCUUUAAGCCUUA
rnacentral:tRNA from 1 species